rnacentral:tRNA from 1 species
UUAAAGGUAAGUUAAGAAAACUAUUGGAUUCAUACUCCAUAAAUGAUAAAUUUUUAUCUCUUUAUA